UUAGCUGUGAAGAAGACUGCAGUCACGUAGCACUUGGCACCCAGGGAUCUCAAAGAACUUUAUGCAUCAUUUAUCUUGAGCCUUGUUUUGCAAAAGACCAACUACCUAAGGCUUGGGCUGGGGGUAGAGGUAGAUGUUUGAGCUAGAUUUACACCAUUAAUCGAGGUAGGGGGAGAAAGACACAAAGCCUCCGGUUUAGCGGUUUCCUCCUCCCUCUGAAGCACCUUCUCGCAGUCCUCUCAGCAAUGAAAGUUCCUUUAUUCGUCCAGCACGAAAAGGCCAAAGAAACAGGGUUAUCCUUUCACCUAACAGCCCUUUCUGGGGCAGUUGAUCAGAAACAUGCAGAGCAUAGAGCCUUGGCUUGGAAGGAAGGUUUGGAAGGAAGAACAAAUCGUCUGUAAACUAUUGGGCUGGACUUGCCUCUUCCAAAGCUAAAAAUGGUGAGUCAGGAUUUUGGCGUCCACGCUCUAGGGAGAGAAGCCACAUGUAAAUGGGGAAAGCUCUGGCUGGCAGAGCGAGGGGGAACAGGCGAAGGGGGAGCCAGGUCUCUUGAGGAGGCCAGCAACGCGCGUGCGGGUCGAAUGCGGGUUCCCGACGCAAGACGCCCGGAAACCUGCUCCCCAGUGAGAACAAAGGCAGGCGCCAAGCGAGAACCUGAUUGGUGCCGGGUCCUCACCGGUGUCCUCUGGGCCCCGGAGACAACUUGCUUCACCCACUGGCGCGGAGCUCCGUGCUCACUGGAGCCCAGGCUCCCCACCCGGCCUUGGCCGUGACCACACAGGACUGUGCGUUAUGACAUCACCUGUUUUCGCUCUUUAGAACAUGAUCUGUAGUCUCAGCUUCUCCUUUUUUAGAGGUCUCUAGUGUACCGGGAUUUGGGAAGGCCUGCAGUCCGCAGAAUGAAUCUGGAGAUGAUGUAAAAGAACGGUUUCACUGGUUUGCAUUUCUUUCUUUUCUUCCUUUUCUUUUUAAUUAAAAAACACACGGACACACACACACACACACACACACACACAGCCUGGUUUCCUUAGGGAUUCAGAGUGGUGUUGUAAUGCAAAAUCAGAAAGGUACACUUGGAGGAGCUAGCAAGUUUAGCAUAUCAAAGCUAUUAGACCAAAUUGUGUGGUUAAAACUGUCAAUCUUAUUUUUUCAACAGCUGCCUCCUCUGCCCCUUUUAGAGACCAACACACAUAAACCAAGUCUACACAAGGAACAAAGGAAGUGGAAAUCUGCCAGUGUCAGGUUGAAAUACAUUAAAAUUGACUGGAAAACCCCUGAAGGGCCUGAGUUAUGCGGUUGGGUAAAUGUGUUGAUCCACUUAACUAGUAAUAGCUAAAGGUCACUUGAUGCUGUUGUAGACAUGUAUAGCCUAGAAUAGCAAUGGUGUGGGGAAGGUGCUUGACAAUCAGAAAAAACUGUAAAAGCAAGAACAUUAAGGAGAGAAAUUACCAUAGGCUCGUCAAUGCAGAGAACCAAGAAAUCCAGGGAGAAAGUUAGCAAGGCACAGUUUUCCUAGGAACUGAAACACAUAUGUGUCCCUGUUUAGUGGUAAAUUUCUUGGGCUAUAUUCCUGGCUGGUUCUCCCUUGUAAAGCAGAUUUUAUGUGAAUGCAUUUUAAAGGAUAGGAGAUAUUGAAGGCUG
rnacentral:lncRNA from 1 species